rnacentral:misc_RNA from 1 species
AGUCGUAACAAGGUAACCGUAGGUGAACCUGCGGUUGGAUCAUUAAAUAAUGAUUGAUGGGUCAGGAAUCCUUCAAGCCUUGGUUUGUCAAGGACUGACUCAUCAAUAACCCCUGUGCAACUGUCUAGUAUUUUGGGUACUGCAGUGUUUCUGAUACUGCAAUGCCCGAGCAUAUAAUAACACCAAUUGAAACUUGUCUUGUUUAAUUUAUUAAAAAUAAUGUAAACAACUUUUGACAACGGAUCUCUUGGCUCUC